rnacentral:rRNA from 1 species
ACGCGUUGGGAGCUCUCCCAUAUGGUCGACCUGCAGGCGGCCGCGAAUUCACUAGUGAUUCGUAUUACCGCGGCUGCUGGCACAGAGUUAGCCGGUGCUUAUUCUGUCGGUAACGUCAAAACAGCAAAGUAUUAAUUUACUGCCCUUCCUCCCAACUUAAAGUGCUUUACAAUCCGAAGACCUUCUUCACACACGCGGCAUGGCUGGAUCAGGCUUUCGCCCAUUGUCCAAUAUUCCCCACUGCUGCCUCCCGUAGGAGUCUGGACCGUGUCUCAGUUCCAGUGUGACUGAUCAUCCUCUCAGACCAGUUACGGAUCGUCGCCUUGGUGAGCCAUUACCCCACCAACUAGCUAAUCCGACCUAGGCUCAUCUGAUAGCGCAAGGCCCGAAGGUCCCCUGCUUUCUCCCGUAGGACGUAUGCGGUAUUAGCGUCCGUUUCCGAACGUUAUCCCCCACUACCAGGCAGAUUCCUAGGCAUUACUCACCCGUCCGCCGCUCUCAAGAGAAGCAAGCUUCUCUCUACCGCUCGACUUGCAUGUGUUAGGCCUGCCGCCAGCGUUCAAUCUGAGCCAUGAUCAAACUCUAAUCGAAUUCCCGCGGCCGCCAUGGCGGCCGGGA